rnacentral:tRNA from 3 species
GGGCCUAUAGCUCAGUUGGUAGAGCCCCCGGCUCAUAACCGGUAGGUCGUAGGUUCGAAUCCUGCUGGGCCCA